rnacentral:rRNA from 1 species
GUUUGUCGCGUUGUUCGUGAAAUCUCACGGCUUAACUGUGAGCGUGCGGGCGAUACGGGCAGACUUGAGUACUGCAGGGGAGACUGGAAUUCCUGGUGUAGCGGUGGAAUGCGCAGAUAUCAGGAGGAACACCGGUGGCGAAGGCGGGUCUCUGGGCAGUAACUGACGCUGAGGAGCGAAAGCGUGGGGAGCGAACAGGAUUAGAUACCCUGGUAGUCCACGCCGUAAACGGUGGGUACUAGGUGUGGGUUUCCUUCCUUGGGAUCCGUGCCGUAGCUAACGCAUUAAGUACCCCGCCUGGGGAGUACGGCCGCAAGGCUAAAACUCAAAGAAAUUGACGGGGGCCCGCACAAGCGGCGGAGCAUGUGGAUUAAUUCGAUGCAACGCGAAGAACCUUACCUGGGUUUGACAUGCACAGGACGCCGGCAGAGAUGUCGGUUCCCUUGUGGCCUGUGUGCAGGUGGUGCAUGGCUGUCGUCAGCUCGUGUCGUGAGAUGUUGGGUUAAGUCCCGCAACGAGCGCAACCCUUGUCUCAUGUUGCCAGCGGGUAAUGGCCGGGGACUCGUGAGAGACUGCCCGGGGUCAACUCGGAGGAAGGUGGGGAUGACGUCAAGUCAUCAUGCCCCUUAUGUCCAGGGCUUCACACAUGCUACAAUGGCCGGUACAAACGGGCUGCGAUGCCGCGAGGUUAAGCGAAUCCUUUUAAAGCCGGUCUCAGUUCGGAUCGGGGUCUGCAACUCGACCCCGUGAAGUCGGAGUC